rnacentral:ncRNA from 1 species
AGAUUUGGUUGUAGAACGCAACCAAAUAAAAAUAAAGAAAGUUCAAUUGAA